rnacentral:misc_RNA from 1 species
AGUCAACAACAGCAUAAACUCACAAGGUAAAAGAAUGUUAUCAUCUUCAAUAUUUAUUUAUCAUAUAAGCAAUUCCUCUGGCAUUGACACAGACAAAUUUAUAUUUCAGAUGAGACUUAAAAUCAGGAAACUUUUAGAUAUCUUGUUAAUUCUUUUCUUAAAUAUUUUAAAAAACAUAAAAGAGAAAAGGCUAAUGUAACUUGUAAUCUGAAAACCCACGCUACCUCAGUACAGGAAAAGUUAAAACUCAACAAUUCAUCAUUAUUUUGGAAAACCCCAUAUGGUUUAGAAAAAAAUAAAUUGAGGAAUGGUUACUUUUAUUGAUCUUACUUUGCCUCAUGAUACAUGCCAUCUUAUCAGGGAAAAGAUAAAUAGAAAUAGUGCUACGAAGUAACUGAAAAUAUCACACUACUGACAACUAAUCUUCUUUUCCAACAACUAUUAUUUCAAGACCUAUAAAAGUGGCCUCUUUAUUUUAAUUUUUUACUUCUCUGGAACCAUUGUUUGUAACUAUAAUUUUUUCUUUAAAUAAAAUAGAAACUACAAAUCAUAUCAUCAGAGGGAAUACACCAAUUAAGAUCCCAACAGAUGAAAAGCUAUCAUCCUAGUAGAGGUAGAU